rnacentral:rRNA from 1 species
UACGUAUGGUGCAAGCGUUAUCCGGAUUUACUGGGUGUAAAGGGAGCGUAGGCGGCGCGUUAAGUCUGAUGUGAAAACCCGAGGCUCAACCACGGGAGUGCAUUGGAAACUGGCGGGCUGGAGUGCCGGAGGGGUAAGCGGAAUUCCUAGUGUAGCGGUGAAAUGCGUAGAUAUUAGGAGGAACACCAGUGGCGAAGGCGGCUUACUGGACGGCAACUGACGCUGAGGCUCGAAAGCGUGGGGAGCAAACAGG